rnacentral:rRNA from 1 species
UGAUUGAUUUUGGUCGCCAACGAGUGGCGGACGGGUGAGUAACACGUAGGUAACCUGCCCAGAAGCGGGGGACAACAUUUGGAAACAGAUGCUAAUACCGCAUAACAGCGUUGUUCGCAUGAACAACGCUUAAAAGAUGGCUUCUCGCUAUCACUUCUGGAUGGACCUGCGGUGCAUUAGCUUGUUGGUGGGGUAACGGCCUACCAAGGCGAUGAUGCAUAGCCGAGUUGAGAGACUGAUCGGCCACAAUGGGACUGAGACACGGCCCAUACUCCUACGGGAGGCAGCAGUAGGGAAUCUUCCACAAUGGGCGCAAGCCUGAUGGAGCAACACCGCGUGAGUGAAGAAGGGUUUCGGCUCGUAAAGCUCUGUUGUUAAAGAAGAACACGUAUGAGAGUAACUGUUCAUACGUUGACGGUAUUUAACCAGAAAGUCACGGCUAACUACGUGCCAGCAGCCGCGGUAAUACGUAGGUGGCAAGCGUUAUCCGGAUUUAUUGGGCGUAAAGAGAGUGCAGGCGGUUUUCUAAGUCUGAUGUGAAAGCCUUCGGCUUAACCGGAGAAGUGCAUCGGAAACUGGAUAACUUGAGUGCAGAAGAGGGUAGUGGAACUCCAUGUGUAGCGGUGGAAUGCGUAGAUAUAUGGAAGAACACCAGUGGCGAAGGCGGCUACCUGGUCUGCAACUGACGCUGAGACUCGAAAGCAUGGGUAGCGAACAGGAUUAGAUACCCUGGUAGUCCAUGCCGUAAACGAUGAGUGCUAGGUGUUGGAGGGUUUCCGCCCUUCAGUGCCGGAGCUAACGCAUUAAGCACUCCGCCUGGGGAGUACGACCGCAAGGUUGAAACUCAAAGGAAUUGACGGGGGCCCGCACAAGCGGUGGAGCAUGUGGUUUAAUUCGAAGCUACGCGAAGAACCUUACCAGGUCUUGACAUCUUGCGCCAACCCUAGAGAUAGGGCGUUUCCUUCGGGAACGCAAUGACAGGUGGUGCAUGGUCGUCGUCAGCUCGUGUCGUGAGAUGUUGGGUUAAGUCCCGCAACGAGCGCAACCCUUGUUACUAGUUGCCAGCAUUAAGUUGGGCACUCUAGUGAGACUGCCGGUGACAAACCGGAGGAAGGUGGGGACGACGUCAGAUCAUCAUGCCCCUUAUGACCUGGGCUACACACGUGCUACAAUGGACGGUACAACGAGUCGCGAACUCGCGAGGGCAAGCAAAUCUCUUAAAACCGUUCUCAGUUCGGACUGCAGGCUGCAACUCGCCUGCACGAAGUCGGAAUCGCUAGUAAUCGCGGAUCAGCAUGCCGCGGUGAAUACGUUCCCGGGCCUUGUACACACCGCCCGUCACACCAUGAGAGUUUGUAACACCCAAAGUCGGUGGGGUAACCUUUUAGGAGCCAGCC